rnacentral:rRNA from 1 species
CCGGGUAGUCCAGCUGUAAACUAUGCAAACUCAGUGAUGCAUUGGCUUGUGGCCAAUGCAGUGCCGCAGGGAAGCCGUUAAGUUUGCCGCCUGGGAAGUACGUACGCAAGUAUGAAACUUAAAGGAAUUGGCGGGGGAGCACCACAAGGGGUGAAGCCUGCGGUUCAAUUGGAGUCAACGCCG